GACGGAGGGUGCAAGCGUUGUUCGGAAUUACUGGGCGUAAAGGGCGCGUAGGCGGUCUGUUAAGUUCGGUGUGAAAGCCCCCGGCUCACCUGGGGAACUGCGCCGGAAACCGACAGACUCGAGUACCGGAGAGGAGGGUGGAAUUCCUGGUGUAGCGGUGAAAUGCGUAGAUAUCAGGAGGAACACCGGUGGCGAAGGCGGCCCUCUGGACGGAUACUGACGCUGGAGGCGCGAAAGCGUGGGGAGUCAAACAGG
rnacentral:rRNA from 1 species